rnacentral:piRNA from 1 species
UGUUGUACCCACCUUGCAACUAUUACUUUGU